CUUGCAUUCCCCAGGUAGUUUGAAUGAGUCUCAGCCCAAAUUUGCAAACUCAGUACAGCCAUCCCCUGGGAAGUCACCCUGUCUAAGCCUCCUGUACAAGUCCUAGGAAAAGAACCUGUUUUCCCUGGGGCAUGUGAGCAGUGAAUUAUUGCUCAUUCAGAAUUUCAUGUGUAUGUGUUGCUGAUGGCCAGGUUUAGAGAUACCAACCUAUUUGUUUUUAGAGGAGAGGUGAACUGAUAACAUUCUUUUGAGACAUCACUAUCACUAGGCAGGAAAGGGCUAAUAGUAUGACAGUGUCCUGGGGACAAUAAACUGCAAACUACAAAAGCACCUGGUCUGUGGCCCUGACCAGCAUCUCUCCAUAUCCUGAUUCUGCAGGAACAGCUGAGGACCACCUAUCCUAGAUGGCUGCUGUUAUUGUUCAAAGGAACCUCUUUAGAGCCUCAAGCCCAGGAAUAGUCCAUGGCAGGCACCUGGUAGGAAAGGAUUAAUAGAGUUAGUGUGACAGUGUCCUGUGGACAGCAUAGAAACCGCCCCAACCUCCACCCUCCCGCAAGCUGCAUAAGUACCUGGUUUGUGGCCUUUGCCAGCCUCUCUUCAUAUCCCGAUUCUGCAGGAACAGGUGCUUGAACAUUAGGAGAAGGGGCUGAAUCUUUGGGUGGGGUUUCAUGAAGGGCACACCGUUAUUGGGAUGCUAGCAUUUGCCAUUCAUGACACUGGCAUUUGGGUAUCAUGAAACACAGGAAAGUUUUUCCAACCCCCACCGUAUUGACUGUUGGGAUCUACUAAUCCAUUAGAAGAGAAGACUCAAAUCCAUCACUUACUGACCCGUUGGACUUAAGUUCCCUCCUCGUUGUCAUAGCCAAGCACCACCUGUCCUAGAUGGCUCCUGUUUUGUUCAGAGGAACAUCUCUAGAGCUGCAGGCCCAGGAAUAGCCCUUGGCAGGCACCUGACAGCUGCAUCUUCUCUUGCAUUUCCGGCCGCAUCUCUGAGACACCAUGGGGAAGGUGAAGGUCGGAGUCAAUGGAUUUGGUCAUAUUGGGUGCCUGGUCAGCAGGGCUGCGUUUAACUCUGGUAAAGUGGAUAUUGUUGCCAUCAAUGACCCCUUCAUUGGCCUCAACUACAUGGUCUACAUGUUCCAGUAUGAUUCCACCCAUGGCAAAUUCCAUGGCACCAUCAAGGCUGAGAACGGGAAGCUUGUCAUUAAAUGGAAAUCCCAUCACCAUCUUCUAGGAGCGAGAUCCCUCCAAAAUCAAGUGUGGUGAUGCUGGCACUGAGUAUGUCGUGGAGUCCACUGGCAUCUUCACCACCAUGGAGAAGGCUGGGGUUCACUUGCAGGGGGAAGCCAAAAGGGUCAUCAUCUCUGCCCCCUCUGCUGAUGCCCCCAUGUUCGUGAUGGGCAUGAACCAUGAGAAGUAUGACAACAGCCUCAAGAUCGUCAGCAAUGCCUUCUGCACCACCAACUGCUUAGCACCCCUUGUCAAGGUCAUCCAGGACAACUUUGGUAUUGUGGAAGGACUCAUGACCACAGUUCACGUCAUCAGUGCCACCCAGAAGACUGUGGAUGGCCCCUCCGGGAAACUGUGGCGUGACAGCCGCGGGGUUCUCCAGAACAUCGUUCCUGCCUCUACUGAUGCUGCCAAGGCUGUGGGAAAGGUCAUCCCUGAGCUGAACGGGAAGCUCACUGGCAUGGCCUUCCAUGUCCCCACUGCCAACGUGUCAGUGGUGGACCUGACUUGCUGUCUGGAAAAACCUGCCAAAUAUGAUGACAUCAAGAAGGUGGUGAAGCAGGUGUCGGAGGGCCCCCUCAAGGGCAUCCUGGGCUAAACUGAGCACCAGGUGGUCUCCUCCGACUUCAACAGCGACACUCACUCUUCCACCUUUGAUGCUGGGGCCAGCAUUGCCCUCAAUGAACACUUUGCCAAGCUCAUUUCCUGGUAUAACAAUGAAUUUGGCUACAGCAACAGGGUGGUGGACUUCAUGGCCCACAUGGCCUGCAAGGAGUAAGACCCCUGGACCACCAGCCCCAGUGAGAGCGCAAGAGGAAGAGAGAGACCCUCACUGCUGGGGAGUCCCUCACUGCUGGGGGACACUCAGUCCCCCACCAUACUGAAUCUCCCCUCCUCACAGUUUCCAUGCAGACCACUUGAAGAGGGAGGGGCCUAGGGAGCCCCACCUUGUCGUGUA